rnacentral:rRNA from 1 species
UGGCUAAGCGAAAGUGAUAAGUAUCCCACCUGGGGAGUACGUUCGCAAGAAUGAAACUCAAAGGAAUUGACGGGGCCCCCACAAGCGGUGGAGCAUGUGGUUUAAUUCGAUGAUACGCGAGGAACCUUACCAAGGCUUAAAUGUAGUUUGACCGGUUUGGAAACAGAUCUUUCGCAAGACAAAUUACAAGGUGCUGCAUGGUUGUCGUCAGCUUCGUGCCGUGAGGUGUCAGGUUAAGUCCUAUAACGAGCGCAACCCCUGUUGUUAGUUGCCAGCGAGUCAUGUCGGGAACUCUAACAAGACUGCCAGUGUAAACUGUGAGGAAGGUGGGGAUGACGUCAAAUCAUCACGGCCCUUACGCCUUGGGCUACACACGUGCUACAAUGGCCGGUACAGAGAGCAGCCACUGGGUGACCAGGAGCGAAUCUACAAAACCGGUCACAGUUCGGAUCGGAGUCUGCAACUUGACUCCGUGAAGCUGGAAUCGCUAGUAAUCGGAUAUCAGCCAUGAUCCGGUGAAUACGUUCCCGGGCCUUGUACACACCGCCCGUCAAGCCAUGGAAGCUGGG